CCUCAGGUCAACCGGGAGGCGCGGGGGUCAACCAGGAGUUGUGGGGGUUGACCAGGAGUCUUGGGGGUCAGCCAAGAGUUGUGGAGGUCAACCAAGAGUUGUGGGGGUCAACCAAGAGUUGUGGGGGUCAACCGGGAGUCAUGGAAGUCAACCAAGAGUUAUGGAGGUCAACCAAGAGUUGUGGGGGUCAACCAAGAGUCAUGGAGGUCAACUGAGAGUUGUGGAGGUCAACCAAGAGUUGUGGGGGUCAACCAAGGGUUAUGAUGGUCAACCAAGAGUCAUGGAGAUCAACCAAGAGUUGUGGGGGUCAACCAAGAGUUGUGGAGGUCAACCAAGAGUUAUGGAGGUCAACCAAGAGUCUUGGGGGUCAACCAAGUGUCAUAGAGGUCAACCAAGAGUCGUGAAGGUCAACCAAGAGUUGAGGUGCUCCCGAAGCCCCCCGAGAUGCCUCCAGCCCCGGGAACCCCCCGAAACGCGACCUUGGGGCGCUCCCGCCCCCGGAGACCCCCCCAGGCCUCCCUUAGGGACCCCCAAACCCCCUCCCACGGGCCUGACCCUCCCCCCCAAGCUCCCCCUCCCCCGGUGGGUCCAGCCCCUCCCCGCGCGGCACUUUUGGGGCGAUUUUUUUUGGGGUGUUAUUUUUUUGGGGGGGGGGGGUUGUUUCGGGUUUUGUAUGUUAAUUUAAAGGCGGCGCCAGCCCCGCCCACAAUAAAGACUCUGAUUGGUC